rnacentral:rRNA from 1 species
UUUUGCAUAUCAAAAAGCGGAGGUAAAGAAACCAACAGGGAUUGCCUUAGUAACGGCGAGUGAAGCGGCAAAAGCUCAAAUUUGAAAUCUGGCACCUUCGGUGUCCGAGUUGUAAUUUGAAGAAGGUAACUUUGGAGUUGGCUCUUGUCUAUGUUCCUUGGAACAGGACGUCACAGAGGGUGAGAAUCCCGUGCGAUGAGAUGCCCAAUUCUAUGUAAAGUGCUUUCGAAGAGUCGAGUUGUUUGGGAAUGCAGCUCUAAGUGGGUGGUAAAUUCCAUCUAAAGCUAAAUAUUGGCGAGAGACCGAUAGCGAACAAGUACAGUGAUGGAAAGAUGAAAAGAACUUUGAAAAGAGAGUGAAAAAGUACGUGAAAUUGUUGAAAGGGAAGGGCUUGAGAUCAGACUUGGUAUUUUGCGAUCCUUUCCUUCUUGGUUGGGUUCCUCGCAGCUUACUGGGCCAGCAUCGGUUUGGAUGGUAGGAUAAUGACUAAGGAAUGUGGCUCUACUUCGGUGGAGUGUUAUAGCCUUGGUUGAUACUGCCUGUCUAGACCGAGGACUGCGUCUUUGACUAGGAUGCUGCAAAGUACGCGACG